rnacentral:rRNA from 1 species
AGAUUGAACGCUGGCGGCAUGCCUUACACAUGCAAGUCGGACGGCAGCACGGGAGCAAUCCUGGUGGCGAGUGGCGAACGGGUGAGUAAUACAUCGGAACGUGCCCAAUCGUGGGGGAUAACGCAGCGAAAGCUGUGCUAAUACCGCAUAAGAUCUACGGAUGAAAGCAGGGGAUCGCAAGACCUUGCGCGAAUGGAGCGGCCGAUGGCAGAUUAGGUAGUUGGUGAGGUAAAGGCUCACCAAGCCUUCGAUCUGUAGCUGGUCUGAGAGGACGACCAGCCACACUGGGACUGAGACACGGCCCAGACUCCUACGGGAGG